rnacentral:piRNA from 1 species
UGGUGAGCAUUUACAUGGACACAAAUAUU